UACGAAGGGGGCUAGCGUUGCUCGGAAUCACUGGGCGUAAAGCGCACGUAGGCGGAUUGUUAAGUCAGGGGUGAAAUCCUGGAGCUCAACUCCAGAACUGCCUUUGAUACUGGCGAUCUCGAGUCCGGGAGAGGUGAGUGGAACUGCGAGUGUAGAGGUGAAAUUCGUAGAGUAUUCGCAAGAACACCAGUGGCGAAGGCGGCUCACUGGCCCGGUACUGACGCUGAGGUGCGAAAGCGU
rnacentral:rRNA from 1 species